GCAGUUGCUGGUUUAGAGUUGCUGGCCAUAGGAGAAUGAGGGGCUGAAGGGAACGAGCAUCAGUUUGAGGGAGCUUUGGCUUGAAGCGUGGAUUUUUCAUACUCAGACAUGGGUGCAGGAUUGAGCAGCUUGAGUUGUUUGAUGAGUGGGAACAAUGGUAUAUGAUGCAGGUAAGGGAAAGGAGCCCAUAGGGCACUAGGCGAGGAAGAAGUGACCGUCUAAUUUUGGUGUAAAUAUGUUUUGGUGUACAAAGAGAUCUUAGAGGAGAUCUGAAGAGUAGCUGUAUAAAAUUUUUGAUAUGUUUUGGAAAGAAAAAUUAAGGAGAGGUUGGUGAAGUGAAGACUUGCAAAGGGCAAUUGAGGACAACUAGCUGCAAAGAAUGACUGACCGCCCUUGGUUCUCCUACAGUCAUAGAGGACAGACUAACAGGUUCUUCUUAUGAUUUUUUAGUUGUAGUUUACCUCUUUUUAGGUGGUUUGGCAUAUUUGAUAAUUUUUGUAACCAUCUUUGUACAUGUGAAUCUUCUCUUGAAGUUAUAUGAAAUGAUAUGAAAUAUUUUGUAUAUUUGAAAAAAAAAAUU